AACGAACGCUGGCGGCAUGCCUAACACAUGCAGGUCGAACGAGACCUUCGGGUCUAGUGGCGCACGGGUGCGUAACGCGUGGGAACCUGCCCUUAGGUUCGGAAUAACUCCCCGAAAGGGGUGCUAAUACCGGAUAAUGUCUUCGGACCAAAGAUUUAUCGCCUUUGGAUGGGCCCGCGUUGGAUUAGCUAGUUGGUAGGGUAAAAGCCUACCAAGGCGACGAUCCAUAGCUGGUCUGAGAGGAUGAUCAGCCACACUGGGACUGAGACACGGCCCAGACUCCUACGGGAGGCAGCAGUGGGGAAUAUUGGACAAUGGGCGAAAGCCUGAUCCAGCAAUGCCGCGUGAGUGAUGAAGGCCUUAGGGUUGUAAAGCUCUUUUACCCGGGAUGAUAAUGACAGUACCGGGAGAAUAAGCUCCGGCUAACUCCGUGC
rnacentral:rRNA from 1 species